UAAAAACUUAUGUUUGUUUGAUAAAAAACUACAAAAACGACCAGCAAAAGUAUUAGUACAGUUGCUUUAAUAAUUCCCUAUAAAAUUGUUAUAAAAUGGAUAGAUUUGCGAGGACAUAUUAAAUUCAAAAUACGUUGCACUUUUUGUUUACAUAACCAGCCACAAUAUCAAUAAAACAACCCAUCUUUUCGUUUAUAACAAACAUAACCUAAACAUUCUUGUAUAUAACCAUUUUGGUCGAAUAUCCCGGAUUACCCAAAAAGCCACUUUAAAAAUCACGGCUUUACAGAGGAGUUCUCAGUACUUGAUUAUAUAAGGUUGACUGUGAUCGUGUAUUGACCCCUUAUAUCGGGCAGAAAAAGAACCUGAAUAUUAACUUAAUUAGAAGCUAUUGUAUUCAACUAUAUUUUACUCUCUUCUGUUGUGUGGGCUGUUUAGCAUCAACUUAACCCAUUGCAAAUAAGAUCUUGCCAGAUAAACGUGCCUGUCAAACACCAAUUGUUUUUGUAGCUCAAUCACUUGUCAAAUAACAGCUUUGAGAGACUACGGAAUACCAAUCAUGUGGUACAUUUUGAUAUCCUCACUGACUGUUGGGAUUACUUAUUUUAAAAAUAUAAUACAGGGACAAUUCUAAAUUUGAAUAAGGCCUAUCUAAAGGGCUGGCACAGAGUUAAUACCCUAAUAUGCAAAAUCUUUUAAGAAUCAUCGUAAUCAUGUUUUAAUUGAAGAUAAAAAUAUGUCUUAAAAGUAUGUGCUUGCUUAAGUGAAUUACGUUAACUUACAUUAAAAUAUCACUUGCUCGGUAUAACUUCUAUUAAUGAUUAUUAAAUACAAGGCAUGAAUUGAGGUUUGAACGACUGCAAACUUAUUGUGUAAGGUAUAACACAUUAUUCAAAACCUACUCAUUGUUGACAUUUAUUUACUUACGAUCCAAGUGGAUAGGGUAUUUCAAGCACCCAUUAGUAAGUAAGAAGAGUUCGGCCUUAUACUAUUUAUGAGAAUAAUUAAAAAGUAUUUCAGAAUAUUAAGAUGUCAUUUAAAAAUAACCUUAUAAAAGACGCUUGUUAAAUUGUUUCUGAACAUAUUUCAUUUCUACAUGAAGUAAAGAUAAUCAUUGUGUUAGAAAGAAGAGAAAAUAAAUAUAGCUUUAUUAAUGCAAUUUGAAAUGAGGUUAUUUUCAAUAUUUGACCUUGACAAGGACGUGUCCUAAAUCUUAUCCUGUUGUAAAAUUAAACACACGCUUUUUUUACUAUAUUAUAAAAAGAUGUAAUAUAAUAUAAUAUAUAAAACAAUAUCAACUUUAGGUUCAAAAUUUGUACAUUUUUGGUAUAAUUAAAAGAUUGGAUACAAUUAGGUUGGCUAAAUUGGAAAGACCGUCAAGUCUCAUUUGUGAAAGGAAAGUUAAUACGUCGUUUCAUAACACAAACAUUUGCGUUUUUUUCAGAAUUCAUUCUAUAUCUCAAACAAAAUAUAUUCAGUAAGCUGUACACAUGCUCGAAAAUUCAUAACAGAAACUUCAAAAUUAAGAAAGGUAAAAAAGGUACAUUAAAGGUAAUCCAAGCAUAUCAUUGAAAUUUUGUUUUUAAAGCUGUACACAUGGACAAAAAGUAAUUGCUGCACCUGAAAAAAGAGAUUCAUCCAACAACAACAUUGUUAUUUGUUUACAAAAUUGUGAACAUGGCCAAACUUUCUGCCCAGUAGUUUAAAAGAUAAGACAGUAGGUCAAAAAGGGUGGGACCGAAUUUGAUCAAAGGGGCGUAAUUUGCACAAUCUUGGUAGAUGACCACUAUAUGAUGAACAAAUUAUUAAAGGUCUGGGCUUAGCGGUGUCAGACGUGAAGAUUUUCGAUCACAGGAAACUUCAUGGCAUAGCAAGUUUUGACCCCCUGAUCAUAAUUUGUAUUUCACAAGCAAUAGUGUUAGACACACGAACGACGGACAGCGCACAAUCCAUUAAAAUAUAUAACUGCUAUAAACUAUGAUGAUUUAACAAAACUACACAAUGAACAACUUUCAGAUUAUUAAGUUCAUCAUAACGGCCAAGAAUGAUUUUUUUCUAGAAAAUAAAGAGAUAUAAUAUUUCCUAACCUAUAAAAAGAACAAAUAUAACCCUAAUGUGACUAAUUUGAAGAAUUUAUAAAAUAUAACAUAUAAUCCCUUGUUAUUAAAAAUAGAAAAAUAGAAAAAUAAACAAUGCAUACUUCAACGGAAAGGGAGACCACAAAGCAAGAUUUGUUGCCCUUGAUUGAAGCGUAAACUUUAGAUAACUAUCAAGAUUUUAACAAAAUGUAUCUAUAGUGAACUUGUUACCUACAAAGUGAGGCCAAUUUUGACCCCAGGGGCAUAAGUUUGAACAAACUUGAUAGACAACUGCAAGACAAUGUUACACACCAAAAAUCUAAGCUCUAUGCCCCAUGGUUUUUGUCAAGAAAAGUUUUGUAGUUUUUCUACCUAGAAUUCAUUUCUUUGAACAAUUCUGAAAGAGCAGCAACCAAGGAUCAUUCCUAUGAAGUUUCAUUAAGAUUGUCCUAGUGGUUAAGGAGAACAUGACAUUUAUUAUUAAUUGUUGACAUUGGACGACGGAUUGCAUACGACGGAUUGCAUACGACGGAGGACAGACACCGGACAUGUUUGCCCAGUGCCAUUAAACCGGGUUUAUGUUUAAACUUUUUGCUACUGAGCUUGUUUGUGUAGCUUUUUUGCAAAAAUAUAGACCAAUCACAUUAGUUCACUUUGCGCACUCUGUGCUUGGGUUAUUUAAGAACAUAUACAAAUCAUAAACAUGACAAAUAAUGAACAAGAUAAUCAUCAUAUACAACUAUUUCAUCUUAAAACAUUGCAUAUUUAUGAGAUAUUUUUUAACAGAUUAACAGAAUCCGGAUUAAGUCUGUUUUUUUUAACAGAUUAUAUUAUAAGCUUCUUUUAAAUUUCAAAAAGCACAUUAUUUUUGAAUAAUCAUAAGGUCGGCAUUUAAUAAUGCACAUACUAUAGCAAAGUUCUGCCUUCUUCCAGACAAAAAAGUAUGAUUUGAAAAAACAGUAACCUAUUUGAGAUAGUAUAUUGUUGAUAAUAUUAUACUCUUUGUAUUCAAUCUUAUAUUCAGUUAUAACUAUUUCGAGGCUUUUCAUCUGUUUUUGUAUAUUUCAAUGAUUAAAGGUGUCAUUUAACUUCGACCAAAAACGAGAAGGUACGGUUAUUUAAUAAGUAGUCAUAGUCUUCGACUUGGUUGCAAUGAUUACAAACAGGUCUUGUCCAGUAAUUUUGCAUUUUACUGACCGUUCCAAUGCGGUACCUAACAAACAUUGAUAAACAUACCUAGUUUUUUCUUUACAGUAUGUAUGCACUGUACUGCUUGUGGAGUUUUUUGCUGUUUUUCCAUGCUUCUUGUUUGUGAUUUUUGGACGGUACUGCGAAGCAGUGCCAUUCAUAGGUAUCAUGCUACUUUUCGACAGGCAUGCAUCAUUUGGUCCCCGGCUUCAUACCUCAAACAGAAGCGUCUAGGAACCAGUUUUAAACGGAAGUGCACGGCCAAAUAAAAUAGACCUUUUGUCCGCUAUUCAUAAGUACGCGAGUCAAGUAGCGCCCAAAGGCGGCUGAUUCAUAUAGUAAAAUAUAUUCUUCGACUGAAUUCCACAAUAUUUAACAGUGCAUUGUUAAAUAAAAACACAAUGGUUACACAUGAGUUGUUGGUAGAUUAUACCUUUCUUUUAUGACACUAGUGUUUCAUGAAAAACUUAUUCAGAUCGGCUUCUUUCAAGAAAACAUCGCCAUUUUGGAAAUAUCUCAGCAGGUCCGCGUUGUCUUUUGCUAAAAGGCUGACCCGAGAGCUGACCAUAUAAAUGAAGAGGGAAAACGCUGACCAGAAAAAUGGAAAUUGAGUUAUAUCUGUUGAAUUAAUUUUAAUGAGUUAUUUUGAUUUCCUUGUAAUAUUGAAUGUGUAUUAUAACUGAUUUAUUAUAAAUAUGUAUAAUUUAUAAGAGCGUUUAGUUAAAGAUAGAUGACUUUUUUAUCAUUUGUAGAUAUAGAAGUAUCAAUCUACAUCUAGGCCACACCAAGUACAUUAAUUAAUUUCAAAACUCGGCAAACCAUAAAACUUUAAAAAAUAUAUCAAAAUAUUUUCAUUCAUUUUUUUUGGUCAUCCUUUUCCUCUACUGUAUAUCUAUUGUUCAGCCCUUAGGUCAGCCUUUUAGUAUCUCUCCGUUCUCUUGCGAACUUAGCGCUGGGAUCUGUCAUUCUUGGCUAGGAAAACAACAAGUGGGAUAUAGACGCGGCUAUCGCGUCAAGAUAAUUGACUUUCAUACAUAAUUCGCAAACAAGUACGUAACUAUGAUUUUCAAGGAAUUUGAUUGAUAUGUUUCAAAUGAUGUAUGAAUACACAUCGUUCCAAGCAUCGUCCAAUCAUUGGCCGGCAAAUUUCGGUGAGUGACUACUUACAAUAGAAUUUUCGAACGAAUUUAAUUUGUUCUUUAUUUUGAAUUUCGCUGAUUUUGGUAUCCUGUUCUGAUAUUUUGAAAAUAUUAUGUAGAAGCACAUACAGUUGAAAAAUUAUUUCGGUCAGUUAUUAAGCUAUAUUAUGCUAUAAAUAUCUUAAUUUGUAGUAAAUUCGAAAUUUUGUUGCUGUUAUUAUUUUCGUUCAGUCACGAAGAUUUACAGAACAAAUCAAGGACUAUGCAAGCGACUGACUUCAACGUAUAUGUGUAUAAUGAAUUCCAUCAAUGAAGCCUUUGAAAAAAGCGGGCCAUACCCCAGUCUUUGCAUGUGGGAAUGUGGUGUACCACAGGAGGUCAGAUGGCAUUCCAUGAUGGAAUAAAUCUCUUACCAAAUAUUCAGCAGGUCAAAAAUGCUCUUUACCAUCCACAGACAGUAUUUGGCAAACUAGGAACAAGAAAUUCCACUUAAUGUAAUAGCGGUUUGGUUGUGCAUGAACAGCAAAUGUAUCCGGUGCUGGUUUGUUAACAUGCAGGGGCUGCCACUAUCUUCCUUUAGGAUAACAAGGAUGUCAGUUUCCAGCAAAAUAAUCCAGGAAGACACCCAGGUCUUACUGUGAAGGAACGCAAUGAGGUUGUGACCAUAAGGCUCAAAGCUGUGGAGAAAGAUGUCUGGCCAGGAGACAUACUGAUGUUAUGCUUUACUGAUGUUGUUGCCAACACCUACAAACCAUUCACUACAACUACCACAAUGAACAAUGUACUGAUAAUGCAGAAAAUCUGAGCUACCUUUGUGAAAGAGGCCAAGAGAAGAUUGGAUGGUGGAGUUUCAGAUGACACAAUGCCGACUGUUUCCACCCAGCUGAUUUUGCUUCCUACUGGCAGCAGAAGGAAGUCUUCACUUUUAUUUCAAACAAUUCAGUUUUAAUGCCACCAUUUUGUCAAGAUAACAUGUAACUGAACAGAUUGAAAUUACACCACCUUCCUUCAUUAACACAAACCAUCUGUGUACCUUGACCAUCAGCUUGAACAGUAUACUACUUCAACUACCAUUUCCUCAUAUUCAAGCAUUACUAGAAAGGUCUGAAAGGCAAUCAUGCUAUCUUCAGUGAUAAAUGAAGAAUGAUAAACUCCUCUGUAAUAAAUUCUGCUGCAACUUGAGAUCACCAGUAUGUACAGACAUUGCCAAAUUUAUUGCAUUUAUUACUUGUGUCUUAUCAGUGCUCUAUGCAUAGAUAUUGUACUUGAAGUUAACUAUGAUUUUAUUAAGAAACGAUUUUUCACUCUGUAUUGAUGUUCACAUACUUCCUACAAUAAUUUCUGUUGCUAUACCAGUGCCACUAACAGAUAAUCUAGAUGAAUUUGUUUUUAUUUAUUUCUACUACUGUUGUCUAUGAUCAUUUUCAUAUCAUAUAGUUAGUACACUUCAUUAUAUACAAGGCAGUCAAUGUCUUAUUUCCUAUAAUAACUCGGCAAAUAAGCCUUUUGACAUUUGUGCUUUCAAUUUUCUAUAUAGUUUUCAUUAACAUUUCUAACAUUGAAGUCUGAUCACUGUUAAAAACAGGCUCUACUUCAUGGAUGCCUAGAAAUGUCUUCCAAAUUGAUAAUUAAUUAAAAUAACAAUAACCUAAUGCCCUUAUGGAAACAUAUUUCAAACAUUUCUCAACGGCUAUGAAAUUAUUUUUGGACAAACCUUUUUGCAGUUUACAGCCUUUAAAAAAUUAAGAUUUUAUCCCAACCAAAUGCACUGCUUAACCUAUAAAUAAAUUAUUUUUGACAUAUUGUAAUCAUUUUUGCAUGUUUUUUCUGCUACAAUGUUAUCACGUUUUUAUGUGUAUCAUUUAGAUUCAUUGUUUUCACAUUAUUACUUCACUCAUGAUUCAUUGCUAAUCUCAUUUUAUGUAAAUUUCUUCUUGUUCAAUUGUAAAUAAUGACAAAUGCUGCUCAAAAGAGUGUGAUAAUGGAUAUACUCUUCCUGUCAUUCAUGUUAUUUGAUAAUUGUCAGCUGCGGCAUCUUCCAUGAAUUGCAUUAAUUUCACUAUCACUUGUACAUUAUCAUUUCGCAUUUCAUUAUAGAUUCAUAUAACACUACAGACUGGUUAAUUGUAAUGGUAAACUAUUUUUAAAAGAAAUCCAUCCUUUGAUAUAGCCUUCAUCUUACACCAUUAUUUCCUAGAGCUUUACCUUGCAUUUCUGUCAUUCAGGCAUGGUUGAAAUACAUUUCAAGGGACUAGACACCAGAUGAUACCAUUGCAAGAUGAAAAAAACCUGUCCAAAACUUUAAUGGAAUUUAUAUCUUAGUGUACAUUUUAAUUGAGUUUUUGGACGAGUACAUCCCAGUUAUUUUAAAAAAUAGCUUGUGUGUCUUGUAAAAAAACACAAGACCCCCACAUGCUAUUCUUUAGUGUAUACACACAGCUGAGACAGGGAUAUAAAUAUUUAUUUUUACAUUUAAAAAAUUGCAUUUUUGACCUCAUACUAGCCCUAAUUCAUAAGUUCAGUCUUGUUUUAAAGAAAAAUUGAACUUGCUGAUUUUGGUACUUUUGGUUCAUCCCCAAUUGAUCCAAUAAAAUAAUGAUAAUUAUGGAGAAAUAAAGACAUACUUUAUAUGUAAUGUUAAUUGGGCUCAAUUUCAGACCUAUUCAGAUUAUGAAAUAAAAUACUGCAUUAUAACUUUUAUUAAAUCAUAGCAACUAUAAAAACACACAAAAGAGAAUGUUCCUUUUCAUAUAGCUUGUUCUUAUUUAUCUGAAAUUGAACUGCUGGUGUUUAGGCAUUGGUCUAUGACAGGUGUGGUUGACUGUUGAUAUGUAAAUUUAACCAGCUACGAUAACAACAUCAUAUGCAUACACCACUGUCAGCAUUUUAACUGCUACAGCUAAUGAAGAACCUCCAAUAGCUAUACUCUUAUAUUAGCUGCCAUUUAUAAAUAAUAUUUAAAUCUAUUUUGUAUUACAGUUUUCCUUUGAGAUUCAUAAAAAACAUUUACAACCUAUCAAUAAAAUUUAUAUCCGUAUGUACUUCAGUGUUCAUGUUUUGUGGUUUCCUUCUUACCAAAGCCAAAAUAGUUGUUAUCAUAGCCUAUUAGUUGUUACUCAAUUUUUUUAACAUUGCCAUGCUUGAGCUAGGCCUGCUUCCAUUUUCCGACUCCUUGCUGCUGUAUUACUAUUACCCACUGUGCCCUUUUGUUAGGCAGAGCUUCCAUCAAUAAUUAUGAAUUCUAUUUGAUAUUCAAAAUCAUUUUUAAAUGUCAAUUCCAAAAAAGUUUAAAAAUAAUACAGAAACAUAAUUGUGAUACUUAUUUGAGAUAAAAGCAACCCUUACCAUUUGUGUUGGUAUUGAGAGUAGUUACAACACAUGCACAAUAAUAUUUGAACAUUGACCCUUGCAAAUGCCCCAUUAGCGCUCUUUCAAUGCACAUCAAAAGAUCACAGUCUGACCUUGCACCCUGCCCUUUUAAAUCAUAGCUCGGGUCCUGAAUUUCUACUUAAGAAACUUUCUUCUACAAAAAAAAAACAGACUAGGAGAGUUGUACUGUCUGAUUCAAUCUCCUCUUUCCACACAUCUGACAUUCAUACAACCAGAUGUAACUCUCCUGCUGCCAGCUUUAAGCAGUACCGUCCCUCAGCACUUUCAGUGCUUUGAUUGUUAUAUGUCGUUGUCGUUGGCGUUAACCAAGUGCGUAUGGAGUUUAUUUCCUAUUAAAGUUGUUCGCUUAAUUUUAUCUCUUUUGUCAUUCCAAAUGAAAUUAAAGAUUUAAUAUAUACUGUUUUAAUAACAUGAUUGGGAGUUAAAAUAAUUUGCGCUAGAUACGUACGUUUGGGCAGCAGCAAUGCUUUUAUAACAGAAAUUUUGCCAAAAAGGCAAGUUUCGUUUCUUCUUGCUUAUUUGCGUUUGACAUUUAUCAUUUUUAAAGCCAAUAUUAGAUUAAUGCAUUCAGUUUAAUUGUUACCAAAAUAAAUGCCUAUGGAUUGUAUAUAUUUUAACGUGAAAUUGAUAUUGUACAUUUUAUCCAUGCCAUUGUUUUAAAGUACCUAUAGACCUUGUGUUUAAGUAUGUUGAGCUUCAGCCCGGAAAAAAUUGCCGAAUCUAUCAAUAAUCUCCUGAGCUAAUUGGAUUUUAGCUUCAUUUUUAAAAAAAUGGGUUGUGUCGUCUGCGUCAUUUUAAAAUGAGUAUUAUCUACAUUCAGAGCUUUAAUUAAUCAGCAUUGAACGUAUUACUUAUUACAGAGCUCAUUUUUCAAUUAUAUGGGUAAGAGUUUUUGAAAACACAACCACAACCUUUAUAAUACAUUUAAAAAAUCAAGAACAUCGGAAUCCAUCAGAAGGUUGUACACAUAAUGUCGAGAUAUAUUUGUUUUGUAAUUUGUAAAAAAGCUUAUAUUAAGCUUUGUUAUUAAUAAUGUAAAUACGUUUUAUUUCAAAGUAUAUAACUAUGUGGUUCUUU